GAGUAAAACCAGCUCUUCAAGAAUUUUUCUAAUAGGAUUUCUGACUUGGUUGGAAGAUCCAAU
rnacentral:snRNA from 1 species